GAAAUGCGAUAAGUAGUGUGAAUUGCAGAAUUCAGUGAAUCAUCGAAUCUUUGAACGCACAUUGCGCCCUAUGGUAUUCCGUAGGGCAUGACUGUUCGAGCGUCAUUUACACCUUCAAGCCUUGCUUGGUGUUGGGUGACUGUGGCCCCUUUGGGGCCACUCGCCUUAAAGUCAUUGGCGGCCGGUUCGUUGGCUUUGUAGCGCAGCACAAUUGCGUCCUCGAAGCCGCUGGACCAGCUCCCAGAAGCUAAUUUUAAAUGUUUGACCUCGAAUCAGGUAGGGAUACCCGCUGAACUUAAGC
rnacentral:misc_RNA from 1 species